UACAGAGGUGGCAAGCGUUACUCGGAAUUAUUGGGUGUAAAGGGCAGGUAGGUGGCCUUGUAAGUGAGGGGUGAAAUCCCACGGUUCAAUCGUGGAACAGCCUUUCAGACUGCUUGGCUUGAGAGCGACAGAGGAAGAUGGAAUUCCCGGUGUAAGGGUGAAAUCUGUAGAUAUCGGGAAGAACACCAACGGCGAAGGCAAUCUUCUGGGUCGUUUCUGACACUGAGCUGCGAAAGCUAGGGGAGCAAACAGAAUUAGAUACUCUGGUAGUCCUAGCCGUAAACGAUGAGUACUAGGUGUUGGCACCUUCGGGUGUCGGCGCCGAAGCUAACGCAUUAAGUACUCCACCUGGGGACUACGGUCGCAAGGCUAAA
rnacentral:rRNA from 1 species